GGGGCCGACCUGGUUUCGACGUGGGUUGCGAAGCAGUUGAGGGCAUACCGAGGACCCGUCACCUCGUAAAUCAAUGGGAAAGCAAUAAUUGCUACCUUUAGCAAGCAAGAAGCUGCAAACGAUUCGUCGUUUGCUCUCGCCGCUUAAACACCGGUGACUUCCCUCGUACUGGUCUGCCGAUAGGCCAGGGUCGCAAGACUAUACGAGGUCAUUCAUAUCGGAUCGCAUCGGGUGGGUGUCGUGACGCCAGAUGCUAAAACAAUCGCGACUCGCCGUUCCAAAGCGUGUUCGUCCGCGUUGGCCCGGUUAAAUCAAAUGACAGAACUAAGUAUGUAGAACUCUCUGUAGAGGACUUGCGGACGCGGGUUCGAUUCCCGCCGGCUCCACCA
rnacentral:tmRNA from 2 species